rnacentral:rRNA from 1 species
UGGGGAAUAUUGCGCAAUGGGGGAAACCCUGACGCAGCCAUGCCGCGUGAGUGAAGAAGGUCUUCGGAUCGUAAAGCUCUUUCAACGGUGAAGAUGAUGACGGUAGCCGUAGAAGAAGCCCCGGCUAACUUCGUGCCAGCAGCCGCGGUAAUACGGAGGGGGUUAGCGUUGUUCGGAAUUACUGGGCGUAAAGCGCACGUAGGCGGACCAGAAAGUUGGGGGUGAAAUCCCGGGGGCUCAACCCCGGAACUGCCUCCAAAACUAUCGGUCUAGAGUUCGAGAGAGGUGAGUGGAAUUCCGAGUGUAGAGGUGAAAUUCGUAGAUAUUCGGAGGAACACCAGUGGCGAAGGCGGCUCACUGGCUCGAUACUGACGCUGAGGUGCGAAAGUGUGGGGAAGCAAACAGGAUUAGAUACCCUGGUAGUCCACACCGUAAACGAUGAAUGCCAGUCGUCGGGUAGCAUGCUAUUCGGUGACACACCUAACGGAUUAAGCAUUCCGCCUGGGGAGUACGGUCGCAGAUUAAAACUCAAAGG